rnacentral:tRNA from 171 species
UCCCCGAUAGCUCAGCGGUAGAGUAGGUGACUGUUAAUCACUUGGUCGUUGGUUCGAAUCCAACUCGGGGAGCCA